UACGAAGGGGGCUAGCGUUGCUCGGAAUCACUGGGCGUAAAGGGUGCGUAGGCGGGUCUUUUAAGUCAGGGGUGAAAUCCUGGAGCUCAACUCCAGAACUGCCUUUGAUACUGAAGAUCUUGAGUUCGGGAGAGGUGAGUGGAACUGCGAGUGUAGAGGUGAAAUUCGUAGAUAUUCGCAAGAACACCAGUGGCGAAGGCGGCUCACUGGCCCGAUACUGACGCUGAGG
rnacentral:rRNA from 1 species